rnacentral:rRNA from 1 species
UACGAAGGGGGCUAGCGUUGCUCGGAAUCACUGGGCGUAAAGCGCACGUAGGCGGAUUGUUAAGUCAGGGGUGAAAUCCUGGAGCUCCAACUCCAGAACUGCCUUUGAUACUGGCGAUCUUGAGUCCGGGAGAGGUGAGUGGAACUGCGAGUGUAGAGGUGAAAUUCGUAGAUAUUCGCAAGAACACCAGUGGCGAAGGCGGCUCACUGGCCCGGUACUGACGCUGAGGUGACAAAAGCGGUGGGGAGCAAACA